ACACUCUGUAGGUGCUGAACGUUCCCCAUAGAGAUACAUUGAUUCAAUGCAUCUCUAUGAGGAGAUGCUAAUUGGAGUGGCGUUUUGCAGCCAAUCCUAUGGCAAAGCAUUGGAUUGGCUGAGAUCAUCAAGCUUGAUGAUCUCAGCUAUAGAGGCAGGGCCAGUCGAGGGAGACCAGCACGCUGCGUGGGGGGGAAAAAAAGGUGA